rnacentral:tRNA from 1 species
GGGGGCAUAGUUCAGUUGGUAGAACGCAUGCUUUGCACGCAUGAAGUCAUUGGUUCGAGUCCGAUUGUCUCCA